rnacentral:rRNA from 1 species
GAGUUUGAUCCUGGCUCAGGAUGAACGCUGGCGGCGUGCUUAACACAUGCAAGUCGAACGGGAAAUACUUUAUUGAAACUUCGGUCGAUUUAAUUUAUUUCUAGUGGCGGACGGGUGAGUAACGCGUGGGUAACCUGCCUUAUACUGGGGGAUAACAGCCAGAAAUGACUGCUAAUACCGCAUAAGCGCACAGAACCGCAUGGUCCGGUGUGAAAAACUCCGGUGGUAUAAGAUGGACCCGCGUUGGAUUAGCUAGUUGGCAGGGCAGCGGCCUACCAAGGCGACGAUCCAUAGCCGGCCUGAGAGGGUGAACGGCCACAUUGGGACUGAGACACGGCCCAGACUCCUACGGGAGGCAGCAGUGGGGAAUAUUGCACAAUGGGGGAAACCCUGAUGCAGCGACGCCGCGUGAAGGAAGAAGUAUCUCGGUAUGUAAACUUCUAUCAGCAGGGAAGAUAAUGACGGUACCUGACUAAGAAGCCCCGGCUAACUACGUGCCAGCAGCCGCGGUAAUUC